GAUGAACGCUGGCGGCGUGCCUAAUACAUGCAAGUCGAGCGAACGGACGAGAAGCUUGCUUCUCUGAUGUUAGCGGCGGACGGGUGAGUAACACGUGGAUAACCUACCUAUAAGACUGGGAUAACUUCGGGAAACCGGAGCUAAUACCGGAUAAUAUUUUGAACCGCAUGGUUCAAAAGUGAAAGACGGUCUUGCUGUCACUUAUAGAUGGAUCCGCGCUGCAUUAGCUAGUUGGUAAGGUAACGGCUUACCAAGGCAACGAUGCAUAGCCGACCUGAGAGGGUGAUCGGCCACACUGGAACUGAGACACGGUCCAGACUCCUACGGGAGGCAGCAGUAGGGAAUCUUCCGCAAUGGGCGAAAGCCUGACGGAGCAACGCCGCGUGAGUGAUGAAGGUCUUCGGAUCGUAAAACUCUGUUAUUAGGGAAGAACAUAUGUGUAAGUAACUAUGCACAUCUUGACGGUACCUAAUCAGAAGGCCACGGCUAACUACG
rnacentral:rRNA from 1 species